GUAGAGACCUCAUGGUGGGCCUGGACUCUGUGGGGUAGAGACCUCAUGGUGGGCCUGGACCCUGUGGAGUAGAGACCUCAUGGUGGGCCUGGACCCUGUGGAGUGGACCUGGACCCUGUGGAGUAGAGACCUCAUGGUGGGCCUGGACCCUGUGGAGUAGAGACCUCAUGGUGGGCCUGAACCCUGUGGAGUAGAGAUCUCAUGGUGGGCCUGGACCCUGUGGAGUAGAGACCUCAUGGUGGGUCUGGACCCUGUGGAGUAGACCUGGACCCUGUGGAGUAGAGACCUCAUGGUGGGCCUGGACCCUGUGGAGUAGAGACCUCAAGGGGGGCCUGAACCCUGUGGAGUAGAGACCUCAUGGUGGGCCUGGACCCUGUGGAGUAGAGACUUCAUGGUGGGCCUGAACCCUGUGGAGUAGAGAUCUCAUGGUGGGCCUGAACCCUGUGGAGUAGAGACCUCAUGGUGGGCCUGGACCCUGUGGAGUAGACCUGGACCCUGUGGAGUAGAGACCUCAUGGUGGGCCUGGACCCUGUGGAGUAGAGACCUCAUGGUGGGCCUGGACCCUGUGGAGUAGACACCUCAUGGUGGGCCUGGACCCUGUGGAGUAGAGACCUCAUGGUGGGCCUGGACCCUGUGGAGUAGACCUGAACCCUGCACCAUAUAGAUGGAUACUGGCCUGAUGUUAGAGUGUGUUGUAUAUAUAUACUAGCAGUACUGAGAACCAAUGGGGGUGUGGCUCGCACAUUGUGGGGACUUUGGGAAAGUUAACUUUUUUUCUGAAGCAUCUUUAAAAAAUAAACUAUUUAGAUUGCUACGCUACACAGCUGUGUAUGGACCUGUGGGGAACGUAGUGGAUACUUGUGUCUCUGUCAUACAGCACUCACAGUUACAAGGACCUGGUGCUGCCUGUCUGCUGUUGUCUGUCAGAGAGGAAGAGGUGAACCAAAGAGGGAUAACUGGGCCCGAAAUCUGUCUUCUCCACCAGGUGGCGCUUUUGUUUUGUUUAUUUCAAUUCAAGGGGCUUUAUUGACAUGGGAAACACAUGUUAACAUUGCCAAAGCAAGAGAAGUAGAUAAUAUGCAAAAUUGAGGUAAACAAUAUAAAUGAACAGUAAAAAUUACACUCACAGAAUUUCCAAAAGAAUAAAGACAUUUCAAAUGUCAUAUGAUGUAUAUAUACAGUGUUGUAACGAUGUACAAAUGGUUAAAGUACAAAAGGGAAAAUAAAUAAACAUAAACAUGGGUUGUGUUUACAAUGGUGUUUGUUCUUCACUGGUUGACCAAUUCUUGUGGCAACAGGUCACAAAUCUUGC
ensembl:lncRNA